rnacentral:precursor_RNA from 1 species
ACAGUGAUUUUUUUCCUGGGAUUUGGGAGCUUAUCAGAAUCUCCAGGGGUACUUUAUAAUUUCAAAAAGUCCCCCAGGUGUGAUUCUGAUUUGCUUCCUUUUCCUCCUCCUGCUCUGAGAAUCA